GACCCCAAUAGGCCACGCACACACACAAUUGUCCACACCUCGACCCCAAUAGGCCACGCACACACCCAAUCCGUCCACACCUCGACCCCAGUAGGCCACACACACACACAAUCCGUUCUCGCACGUCACCAACAUCGGUGACUCAUGCCCACUACCCCACACCUCGACCACAAUAGGCCACGCACACACACCAUCCGUCCACACCUCGACCCUAAUAGGCCACGCACACACACAACCCGUCCACACCUCGACCUCAAUAGGCCACACACACACACAAUCUGUAACGGCCCCGAAAAUUAAAUGAAGAUGUAUGUAUUAAAAAUCUUAAAUGCGGAAGUGUAAUAAAAUUUUUGAUUAACAUCCCUUACACAAUAACAAAAAACGUACUCAAAACAUGAAAGAAUAAGUUAAUUAAAAGAGAUACUCGAAAUAAAAAAAAAACUAUAAACAGAACUAUAAAAUCUUUAGGCGUCUAACUCGCUGUCUUCCUGCAGAACGGGCUCAGGAACUCCGUCUUCCUGAUCUGAAAUGGUUAAGUAAGGAAUGAGCUACACUAGCC
rnacentral:lncRNA from 1 species